rfam:Candidatus Izimaplasma sp. HR1 chromosome, complete genome.
AUAACUAAGUAAAUUGAGGAAAUAGGCGCAACUCCUAUGCUACCCCAGUAACUGUUAAAGUCAGAUACUCAAAAUUAC